AUUGAACGCUGGCGGCAGGCCUAACACAUGCAAGUCGAGCGGAGCGGCGGACGGGUGAGGAAUGCCUAGGAAUCUGCCUGGUAGUGGGGGAUAACGUCCGGAAACGGGCGCUAAUACCGCAUACUAUUGGAUGCGCCUAGGUCGGAGUAGCUAUUUGGGGGGGUAAUGGCCUACCAAGGCGACGAUCCGUAACUGGUCUGAGAGGAUGAUCAGUCACACUGGAACUGAGACACGGUCCAGACUCCUACGGGAGGCAGCAGUGGGGAAUAUUGGACAAUGGGCGAAAGCCUGAUCCAGCCAUGCCGCGUGUGUGAAGAAGGUCUUCGGAUUGUAAAGCACUUUAAGUUGGGAGGCGUUACCAGCAGAAUAAGCACCGGCUAACUUCGUGCCAGCAGCCGCGGUAAUAC
rnacentral:rRNA from 1 species